rnacentral:rRNA from 1 species
CCUACGGGUGGCAGCAGUCGAGAAUCAUUCACAAUGGGGGAAACCCUGAUGGUGCGACGCCGCGUGGGGGAAUGAAGGUCUUCGGAUUGUAAACCCCUGUCAUGUGGGAGCAAAUUAAAAAGAUAGUACCACAAGAGGAAGAGACGGCUAACUCUGUGCGAGCAGCAGCGGUAAUACAGAGGUCUCAAGCGUUGUUCGGAAUCACUGGGCGUAAUGCGUGCGGAGGCUGUUUCGUAAGUCGUGUGUGAAAGGUGAGGGGUCAACCCGCGGACGGCACAUGAUACCGGGAGACUAGAGUAAGAGAGGAGGAAGCGGAAUGCGCGGUGUAGCAGUGAAAUGCGUAGAUAUCGAGAAGAACACUCGUGGCGAAGGCAGGUUGCUGGACAUUAACUGACGCUGAGGCACGAAGGCGAGGGGAGCGAAAGGGAUUAGAUACCCCAGUAGUC